CUUUACAUCCUGGGGGAGGGAAACAGCAGGGCUGCUCUGAAAUAGGGGUGUGGAGAUGGCAGCGGAGGCAGAACAUAACCCUUUUGGGCACCCACACUCCUGCCUGGAGCUCCACGUGCACCCUCGUGCUGUAAUCCCUGGGAGCACCUGCGUUUCACAGCUUUUAGGGUCCAUCCAUGUCCAGAACGUCUGAAGAAGAGGAUAAGGACCAGGAGGAUGCUGAGACCUGUAUAAGGGGAAGCAUCUCUGUAUUUGAACAAAGUUCUCCUUUUUUCAGCUGAACAGCAGGGGUCAGCAGUGUGGGUUGGUCACCUGAGCGCAUUUCCUCACAUCCUAGCAGGCUUGUUGAAGUUUGAGAGACUGGAAGUCAGAGCUCAGGGUGCGUGCAUGUUCGGGUCCUGGUGAGAGCCUCUUCCGGGUCGCAGACUGCGGACUUCCAGCCCUCACGGGGCAGAGCGCAUCGCUCAUGACGAAAGGGAGGCCCCAACAACAGACUAACAUUUACCUGACUCUCAGAAGACCUCCAAAUGUAGAGGUUGGCCAUCUGCAAACCAGGAAGCAGGCGGAGGGUUCCCGCCAGAGCCCAACCAUUCUGACACCUGACCUUGGACUUCCAGCCACCAGAACGGCACCACCUUAGGGGAUGUGACCUGCUCAGCUGGAUUCCUACGACACUCUGUAUCCUACGUGGCCUCUCUGAGCCCGGGUCGAAUCUCUCUAAUCUAGUUUACACUCUGCAGCCAAACGGAAUCAUGCCACUUCUCUGGACAAACCAAAGAUCCUGCAUGCUCUCGCACUUAAUUGUGCCAGCAUUAAUUCUUGCUCCCGCCCCCAUAACAGUCGCCACUUCAGUCCUGUGGAUCUCCUUACAGUUCUUUUGGGCCAUAUGCCUCCCAGUAAUGCCUCUGAAUGUUUGCCCAUUUUUUCUCUGUAUCUAAAACAUCCUUUCCAUUGCUCUUUACCUGGGUAAUUCCUUCCAAUUUCAGCUUAGUUGGUCUUCCUUUGGGAAGUAUUCUGUUUCCCAAGAUUUAAGCAGAUUCUUAUGGGAUCUCAUGGACCAUUGUAUUAAUCUUAUUGUAGGGCCACUUUAGAGUAUUAUACAUGACGGGUGCAUUUGUUCCCGCAUCCGUUAGAGCGUGAAUCCCUUAAAUGAAGGAGUAGUGUUUGGUGUCUGUUGUGGACACUUAAUUGAUAUUUGUUUAAUGAGAAAAAUCAAUAAAGUGAUGAGUGAAAAAAAUAUAAAAAUGUGCAAACCCAUACCUGCACUCUAGUGGCACGGUGACUAUAAUUCAUUCAGCUCAGCUCCUAUUCAAACAAACAAACUCCACAGCAUCACCGUUUUAAGGAAAAUAUGUUUGUAAGGUAUCUUGUAAGUAUUUUUAAGGCUUUAUAUACUAGAAGGUCAAGAAGUUUAUUUGUCCCCUGUGCUAACUCCAUUACCUUCUUGCAAAUCUAUUCUAUCCAUCAGUGUCUGCUGUUCAG